rnacentral:rRNA from 1 species
CCUACGGGUGGCAGCAGUGGGGGAUAUUGCACAAUGGGGGGAACCCUGAUGCAGCGACGCCGCGUGGGUGAAGAAGCGCCUCGGCGCGUAAAGCCCUGUCAGCAGGGAAGAAAAUGACGGUAACUGACGAAGAAGCCCCGGCUAACUACGUGCCAGCAGCCGUGGUAAUACGGAGGGGGCAAGCGUUUUCCGGAUUUACUGGGGGUUAAGGGGGCGGCGACGGGGAUGCAAGCCCGGAGUGAAAGCCCGGGGCCCAACCCCGGGGGUGCGCUUGGAACUGCGUGGCUGGAGGGCAGGAGGGGCAGGCGGAAUUCCUGGGGUAGCGGGGAAAUGCGUAGAUAUCAGGAGGAACACCGGUGGGGAAGGCGGCCUGCUGGACGGAAACGGACGUUGAGGCCCGAAAGCGUGGGGAGCAAACAGGAUUAGAUACCCCUGUAGUC